rnacentral:rRNA from 1 species
UGAAGUGUGGACGCCAGUCUGCAUGGAGCCGACCUUGAAAUACCACCCUUUAAUGUUUGAUGUUCUAACGUGGACCCGUGAUCCGGGUUGCGGACAGUGUCUGGUGGGUAGUUUGACUGGGGCGGUCUCCUCCUAAAGAGUAACGGAGGAGCACGAAGGUUGGCUAAUCCUGGUCGGACAUCAGGAGGUUAGUGCAAUGGCAUAAGCCAGCUUGACUGCGAGCGUGACGGCGCGAGCAGGUGCGAAAGCAGGUCAUAGUGAUCCGGUGGUUCUGAAUGGAAGGGCCAUCGCUCAACGGAUAAAAGGUACUCCGGGGAUAACAGGCUGAUACCGCCCAAGAGUUCAUAUCGACGGCGGUGUUUGGCACCUCGAUGUCGGCUCAUCACAUCCUGGGGCUGAAGUAGGUCCCAAGGGUAUGGCUGUUCGCCAUUUAAAGUGGUACGCGAGCUGGGUUUAGAACGUCGUGAGACAGUUCGGUCCCUAUCUGCCGUGGGCGCUGGAGAACUGAGGGGGGCUGCUCCUAGUACGAGAGGACCGGAGUGGACGCAUCACUGGUGUUCGGG